rnacentral:rRNA from 1 species
GAUGAACGCUGGCGGCGUGCCUAAUACAUGCAAGUCGAGCGAACAGACGAGGAGUUUGCUCCUCUGUCGUUAGCGGCGGACGGGUGAGUAACACGUGGAUAACCUCCCUAUAAGACUGGUAUAACUACGGGAAACCGGCUCUAAUCCCGGAUAAUAUAUUGAUCCGCAUGGUUCAUUGGUGAAAGACGGUUUUGCUGUCACUUAUCGCUGGAUCCGCGCCGCUUUAGCUAGUUGGUACGUUAACGGCUUACCAAGGCAACGAUGCGUAUCCGACGUGAGAGGGGGAUCGGCGACACUGGAAGUGAGACGCGGUCCAGGCUCCUGCGGGAGGCAGCAGUAGGGAAUGUGCCGCAAUGGGCGAAAGCCUGACGGAGCGGCGCCGCGUGAGUGAUGAAAGUCUUCGGAUCGGAAUGCUCUGCUAUUGGGUGAAAACAAAUGUGUAAGGUACUAUGCACGUCUUGACGGUAACUAGUCAGAAAGCCACGGCUAACUACGUG